GAUGAACGCUGGCGGCGUGCCUAAUACAUGCAAGUCGAACGAACAGACUAUGAGCUUGCUGUCCGGACGUAAGCGGUGGACGGGUGGUUCAUACGUUGCUAACCUAUGGGGAAGACUGGGCUAAAUUCGGGGGACCGGACCUAAUAGCGGACAAUACGUUGGAGAGCAUGGGUAAACAGUGGAAGGCGCUUGGGCUGUCGCUUAUAGCUGCAUCCGCGCCGGAGUAGCGAGUCGGUAAGGUAACGGCUUACCAAGGGAACGAUGCGUAGCCGACCGGAGAGGGUGAUCGGCCACACUGGAACUGAGACACGGUCCAGACUCCUACGGGAGGCAGCAGUAGGGAAUCUUCCGAAAUGGGCGAAAGCCUGACGGAGCAACGCCGCGUGAGUGAUGAAGGUCUUCGGAUCGUAAAACUCUGUUAUUAGGGAAGAACAAAUGUGUAAGUAACUAUGCACGUCUUGACGGUACCUAAUCAGAAAGCCACGGCUAACUACGUG
rnacentral:rRNA from 1 species